rnacentral:lncRNA from 1 species
GGGCAGUGAUGUCAAUGGCCGAAAAAAGGUGAAAGGAAGGUAAGAAAAAUGAGAGAUCUUCUUUUCUUAAAUUUUUGAUGAAAUCAGUGGCUCACAGCAGUGUCUAAGGCCAAGAGAAGAAGAGGAAGAGAGAGAGAGAGGAGGAAGGAUAGGUGCUUUAUCUCGGCUCCGAUGGUGUCUCCGGCCUCAGUUUUUAGUAGACACAAUGAAAGAGAUUCGAUGAAAAUCGAGAGAAAGAGAGGAGGGCUGGUGUUCAUUCUGAAGUGAGGAGGGCUGGUGUUCAUUGUGAAGUGCUUUGGAGGGGGGAGGAAGAGAUUUAUAAGAGAUUUUUUAGGAUUUUUAGUAGCCCUAGGAGAUUGUUUUCGUGUCGGAUUUGAUGGGAAAGAAGACUCUCAUCAAGAGUCUUCAUUCCUCUAUUUUUUUUUGCCUUAAGAGUCAUG